GACGAACGCUGGCGGCGUGCUUAACACAUGCAAGUCGAGCGGUAAGGCCCUUUCGGGGGUACACGAGCGGCGAACGGGUGAGUAACACGUGGGUGACCUGCCCUCAGCUCUGGGAUAAGCCUGGGAAACCGGGUCUAAUACCGGAUAUGACUCCAUGACGCAUGUUGUGGGGUGGAAGCCUUGUGCGGCUGAGGAUGGGCCCGCGGCCUAUCAGCUUGUUGGUGGGGUGAUGGCCUACCAAGGCGACGACGGUAGCCGGCCUGAGAGGCGACCGGCCACACUGGGACUGAGACACGGCCCAGACUCCUACGGGAGGCAGCAGUGGGGAAUCUUGCGCAAUGGGCGAAAGCCUGACGCAGCGACGCCGCGUGAGGGAUGACGGCCU
rnacentral:rRNA from 1 species